UAUAUAAUUAUCCUACAAUUAAAGUAAUUAUAGUUUGUGAUGAAAAAUAGUCUUUAUUUUUUUGAAACAUUUGCAGGUUUCUUGAAGGGUGUUUAGUGAUCAUCACAGAGAAGUGACAAGAAAAACACUCAGAGAUGUUUUCAUUUCUGCAGAAGAUUUAAGCUGCAUAAGACAUGUUCUUCAUGAAACAACCAGGCAUCUUUACAGUCCAUUAAUUGACAGGCCUGUAUGAAAGGGAGACAGACUGAUGUUCAAAGACAUCUCCUCAUGAUCAGGAUCUAAGAAACAAAUCACAGAAUAUGCUGAGUUGGGAGGGAUGCACAAGGAUCACCGAAUCCAACUCCUAGCCAUGCAUGGGACCAUCCCAAAGAGUCACACCAUGUGCCUGAAAGUAUAGUCCAAAUGCUUCUUAAACUCUGUCAUGCUUGGUGCUGUGACCACUUCCCUGGGGAGCCUGUUUCAGUGCCCAAUCACCAUCUGGGUGAGGAACCUUAUUCUAAUAUCUAACCUAAACCUCCCCUGACACAACUUCAUGCCAUUCCCUCAGGUCCUGCCACUGGUCAUCACAGAGAAGAGAUCAGUGUCACCAGAUGACAUCAGAAAACACAGAAAAUCUGUUUACAGAUGCACUUUAAUCUCUGUCUAAUUUUAAUGUUAAGAGCAGUUUAAUGAUUUUUUUUUACAGUCUGAUCACUGAGCUCCUGAGUUCAGCACAUAGCUGAUAUCUGAUAUCUCUGGACCUUACUUCUGAGUCAAAGCCCUUUGCAGAAUUGGUUUCUAUAGAUAUAACAGGUCUGGUGUCAUAACAGGUACCAAUACACAAAUAAAAGAUUGCCAUGUUGGUUUGCUCUAAUUAUCAAUAAAAUGGUAAAAUAUUUUAAUUUCAACUCUUUCUUAAGCUAAUAAUAUAGCACAUUAACAUCUUAAGUGCAUUUGAAAUAUGGUUAAAGAGAUGAAAGUAGAAUAAUAAGAGGAGAGAUGCUCUGAGGGACCUUAAAACCUAGCAGAAACUUCUGGAGAAGCUAAGCCCUUUGGACAGGCAGAGAGAGUUUUCAGACUUAAGAAGAUUCAGGAAGCAGUUAUAGUCAGAGUAUCUGCUGCUUUGGGACUUGCCCUGGUUAAUAAAGUGUCCGUCACUUUCUGUUAUAACGGUUCCUUAUUAAGCUUAUCUGCUAUCUGAAUAAUAAAAUCAUCUGUCAACAAUAAUUGAGUCUGCUUUUUAUUCAGAUUGCAGCAGUGUCUGCACAUUAUGCCAUGCUUCCAAACUUUCCAACUCAUGCCACUAUGGUGUGUCG